rnacentral:lncRNA from 1 species
GUCGUAGCCAAAACUAAAUCCAAAUACAAAUGCAGUUGACAGUGCAAAGAGUGUGAGAGAGUGACGCUCGCUUAUGGCCAAGGAUACAUUUUGAUUUCUAUACGAAAUCAGCAAUAGAAAAGCAGCAAAAAAGAAGAAAGCCUUUUGGGAAGCACAAAACACUUUUUACAACACUCUGCAACACUCUUUACGCUCCCUUUUUACAGUUGCAGUCUAGCACAACAAACACGCAAGAAAUGUCAGCUUGGAAUGCGGUGGACACACCGCUCGAGAAGUGAGAAAAGUGAGAAUCAGACUCCGACUCAGUCUCUGAUUGAGAGAAAAGCCUUUCCUUCUGCAAAAACUUAUGGCGAAUUAGUGCAGCUGAGCUUUAAUUGGCGUGCACUUGGCAGUGCCAAGUAUGGACAGAUGAAACGUGUGUCCAGCCAGGUCCGUGUGUCUGUCUGAUUGUCCGCUGUCAGAAUCCCAAGAGC